UACGUAGGGGGCUAGCGUUAUCCGGAAUCAUUGGGCGUAAAGCGCGUGUAGGCGGUCCGGUAAGUCCGCUGUGAAAGUCGGGGGCUCAACCCUCGAAUGCCGGUGGAUACUGUCGGGCUAGAGUGCGGAAGAGGCGAGUGGAAUUCCUGGUGUAGCGGUGAAAUGCGUAGAUAUCGAGGAGGAAUACCGGUGGUGUAGACGGCUCUCUGGACCGCAACUGACGCUGAGACACGGAAAGCGUGGGUAGCAAAGCAGG
rnacentral:rRNA from 1 species